UUAGGCAGGUACCUAAGAUGCCUCUUAUACAUCUCAGGGGCCACCAUCACUUUUUCCACCCACAAGUCCCCUCGGUCUCACAAUUUUGGGCAUCCAGGCCCGACUUUCAAAUGGUAAUCCCUGAGUUUCUUCCCCUGGGGGCUUCAACUGAUGACCAACGCUGCUCUGCCUGCCCCCAGGCAGACUAGGGCUGCAAAUCAGUGCCCCCCACAAACAGCCCCCAGUGAAUGACUAGUGCAAGUUAGUGGAUGAAUUCCCCGGCUUCCUCACCUCCUAUCUUCACACAGUCAUCCCUCUGUGUAUGUGUCUGUCCUAUGGAUACUGGUCAGAUUGGAUCAGGGCUCAUCAUAAUGACCUCAUUUUACUUGAAUCACCUCGUUAAAGAUCCUAUCUCCAGAUGCGGUCACAUUCGGAGGUCCUGGGGGUUAGGACUUCCAUCUAUGAAUUUGUGGAGGGGCACAAUUCAGCCCAUUACGGUUCCCCACAGAGGUGCCUGGCUGGCUCAGGCAUCCUUUAUUAACUGUCUUCCAGCAUAUUGGCGUGCGCCUGCUGGUGCUUCCUGCCCUUGAAUCUUGGUAUCAGGCUUGCUUCUGAGAGAUCCCAAACAGAACAAGGGUACAGCCACUCCCUUCCUCUUGCCCUCGGCCACUGAAGCUGUCACUAUGGAUGGGAUCCAGCACCGGAUCCUUCUCAGAGCAAGUCCGAAGCCCCCCAUGGCAUCUCCCCUGAGGUGGGAGUGAGCGCCACGCAGAUGGGGAAGCUCAGGGGCUUAUACUCUGUGGUGGAGAAUUCCCUUCAUACGAUUGGUUCCCCUAGCAGCGUUGCUGUUCAUUCCUUGGCUAUGAUUGGCUGCAUGUAAAUUAGCUAAGCCUAAACCAUUGAUCUUAGUUGUGAUUAGGGCACCCUGCACUACCCAUCAGGCUGAGCUGGCUGUAGGCUUGGUAUGGAUAUGCAAAUUAGGCAAUUCUAAUUUGUUGGUACCGAUAAGAUGUGGGACUAACGCAGUCCUCCUGUGUAGCAUUGAUAAGGUGCUGGGAAUCAGAGUCAUAGUUCAUAGGCUUACACACUCCAUAGAGACCAUCCCAGCACAAGCAGGAACCCGGACACACUGGUUGUGAAACGGUGAUGGAGUCAAGACAUCUAGGGGCCUGGUGGCCUUUCCUCACCCCAGCCUGCCAGUGUGACCCUGCCGAUACAACCAUGAGACUUUGUUCCACAAUACCACCACCUCACAACUGUGCCAAAUGAUACAGCUUACAAAAUGCCGCUUCAUACAGCAAGUCCUUCAUGACAAGCCUGCAAAGAGGAGGGGGUCAUCAUCCCCCUCGAUCUAUUUCUAUUUUACUCCUGAGGGUCAGAAAGUUUGCCUAUGGCCACACUGCUGAGGGCUAUGCAACUGGAACUCGGGCCCGAGGCUCCAGCCUCUGCAUCUGGUCCUCUCCCAGGAAUCACUGCAUCUUGCUGCGGCAGACAUUCAGCUGGCAACGCUGGGACAGCCGGGGCCUCGGGUGUCUCUGCCAGAUGCCCUGGGGUGGGGGGAGCAGCCUGGGCGAGGUGGGUGGAGAGAGGCCAGAUUCUCACAGGUUUUGGAGCCUCGCUCACACACCCGCCUGAUUCCAUCUCUCCCCAACUCCGAUGUGGUUUUCAGCUUGUGGCUUUUUCUCAAAUCCCGACCUUGGCUCCUAGAGGCCCAGCUGUUUUCAAUUGCUGGCGUUGGGGGGUGGGGGCGGGCAGGAAAGGUCCUAUUCACACCAAAUCUCAAGUGUAGCAACAGAAUGGCAGGCCCUCGUGUAGCGGAGCGCACUUUGGUACCUCAGAUGGAUUUAUUCAAAGUUCAUAAUUACCCUGAAAUCUCGUAAAAUGAAAACAUGAUUGAAGAAUUAAACCUGGUAAACAAAUUAGUCAGAAAGAAAACCUCCGCAUAGCAAAUGACAAAAAUCCCAAGAUCCAACCCUGCGAGUGAGCGGGCCUGUGCUAUAAUUGGCAGCCCGGGCUGCAGACAGACCCCGAGCCCUGGCAAAGGCAGGACUGGAGGAGCGUCAGCCCCUUGGGCUAGGGUCUUAGUUGCAGUACACGGGAUUUCGACUUUUGUUGCAGCAUGGUGGGAUCAAGUUCCUUGACCAGGGAUCGAACCCAGACCCCCUGCAUUGGGAGCAUGGAGUCUUAGCCACUGGACCACCAGGAAAGUCCCAAGUGCUUUCUUAAAGAGAAGGAAACUGAGGCUAAGGAUGUCAAACUCCUUUGUCAGCUGUCACCCAGCCCCAGGAAAGGCGGAUCCAAACCCAUGUCCUCCUAGCUGACCGGCACCAUGACAUAGUCCAGCUGAAAUGAUGCAGCCCAUAGCUGAGUGAACUGGACACUCAGAGACCGAAGGGUGCCCUCAGCUGUCACCAACCCUUGCCAUGUACAGACCCCAAAGAACUGCAAGCAGAGAUUCAAACAGAUAAUUGCUCACCCAUGUUCAAAGCAGCAUUACUCACAAUAACCAAAAAGUGGAGGUGACCGAGAGGUCCAUAGCAAAAUAUGGUCUAUCCAUGGAAUAUCAUUCAGCCUUAAAAAGGAAUGAAAUUUGGACAUAGGCUACAACACGGAUGACCCAUGAAGACAUUAGGUUAAGUGAAAGAAGCCAGACGCAAGAAGACAAACAUCCGUCCCUUUACCCGAGUCUGUGUCAUGUGGACCACAGCAAGAUGGAGCCCAGAAUACCCCAGGGUGGGCCUGGGUCUGAUAUGCUUUUGACUCCAUCCACAUUGGCAUCCUCCUUGGCCCCAGGUAGGCUCAAGACCUCUCCAGCACAGUGGUAUAGACAUAAUAGGUGAUUGGAGAAAUGUAUACAAAUUGUAAUGGGUACCAUAUGCAACAUUCAUAGCCUAGCUCUUUGCCUGGGGGUUUUCCCUGGCUUCUGGGCAGGCUAUGAGGACCAAGGAGUUACCACCCUAAAGGAGCAGCCCUUAACUAAUGACUGAUGGGAUUGAAGAAUUAAUAGCCCAGCUCCAUCACCCCUCGGGCAAAUUCUACACUCAUUCCCAGACGACCUGGCAGGAUUGAGUCUAUUUCUCAUCUGCUUAUUCACCCUCUCUCUACUAUUUGUUCCCCUUCCCUGUCUCAUUCCCUCCUGUGCCCUUACUGAUGUCUCUGUGGAUCACCUCCCAAAUAAACUCCUUGCACUGUG